GUGGGGAAUUUUGGACAAUGGGGGAAACCCUGAUCCAGCGACGCCGCGUGAAGGAUGAAGGCCUUCGGGUUGUAAACUUCUUUUGGAGGGGACGAAUAAAUUGACGGUACCCUCAGAAAAAGCCACGGCUAACUACGUGCCAGCAGCCGCGGUAAUACGUAGGUGGCGAGCGUUACUCGGAAUUACUAGGCGUAAAGCGUAUGUAGGCGGUUGUAUAAGUCUAUGGUGAAAUUUCCUGGCUCAACUGGGAAGGGACAUAGAUACUGUAUGGCUUGAGUGGUGGAGGGGGAGACGGAAUUCCUGGUGUAGCGGUGAAAUGCGUAGAUAUCAGGAGGAACACCGAUGGCGAAAGCAGUCUCCUGGCCAAAUACUGACGCUGAGGUACGAAAGCUAGGGUAGCAAACAGGAUUAGAUACCCUUGUAGUCC
rnacentral:rRNA from 1 species